UUAACGGACACAGAGAAUAAGAAACCUGUGGAUAAAUUACAAAAUCUUCCGCUAGGAGAGCCGUAGAAAAUUUUCUCAGCCCGAAUCGUGCAGACGAAAUUUGAAAAGACAGUACUGCUCGAGUUGGAGAAGCAUAUAACGUUUCUACCGCAGAGAGUUACAAAGACCUACGAGGGAUUCAUAAAUCAUUUCGAACAAGAAAAGUACGCCAUCGUGUUCAGAGGGCUGAUCAAUACGGGGAAGAGCCAAUCCUGCAACAUCUUUCGAAAUUGUAGAAAAUUGAGAUAGUUAUAUACCCUCCGCCCCUCAGUACAACAGAAACAUUUUUCGUCAAGCUUUCCUUUGAGAAUUAUCUCCGUUCAUCGCUUCACCACAUUUGACCAAGGUUCGAGUUUCCUACAGUCCUUCUACAGAGUAGUACUUCAAGCUUCCUUCUGCAGCGUUCAGCAAGCAUUCAUUUGUGUAUUCGUCG